GCCUCGUGCCUGUGGUCCCACCUACUCGGGAGGCUGAGGCUAGAGGAUGGCUUGAGUCCAGGAGUUCUGGGCUUGCACUAUGCUAAUCAGGUGUAGGCACUAAAUUCGGCAUCAAUAUGGUGACCUCCUAGGAGCAGGGGACCACCAGGUUGCCUAAGGAGGGGUGAAGCAGCCCAGGUCAGAAACUGAGCAGGUCAAAACUCCCAUGCUGAUUAGUAGUAGAACUACACCUGUGAAUAGCCAUUGCAUUCCAGUCUGGGCAACACACUGAGACCCCUUCUCAA
ensembl:misc_RNA Metazoa_SRP Metazoan signal recognition particle RNA